CUUCCUCGUCUCUCAUUCCUGAGGGAAAUCACAGGAAUGGAAGCCCAGUUGGGUUUCUUCUGAGAAGGCAGAUAAACCAAGACGUCUAAGACAUGAUUGGCCACUUAAAAAGACACCCAGCAAAAUAGAAGCUGUAUGGAGCUACCUCUUCGGUCACUUUUCUUAAAAACUCCACUUCAAACUUUGAAUAAUACAGUGUGUCUAAAAAUAUGAUGAGCUCGAUUUCAAACUAGACAGAUUCUCUUGGCAGCUUAGCUUCAGGCGGCUCCCUGCUUUUUUUGCUCUUCUGGCGUCGGAGUCUAACCUCACUCAGGGUGCCAGACCCGGGCAUCCUGAAAGCCAUGUCUGGGGCACUUCUGCCCUCCAUGGUCCGUGCCGGGAAGACUGGCUUCCGAGCUGGAUUGGCAGCAGCACCAACCACGCUGACCCAUCCGCCUCAACACUAAAGGCAGUGCGGACACGCAAGAUGGAAAGUGCCUGGUCAAGAGAGGGAUGUGGCAGGUUUAGAAAAUUUAAGGCUGGAGCGCCUUCAGAAGGGGUGGUUGGCUUGUGCGCCGUCUUUCCCUGGGUGUUCAUCCAGCCGUUGCUGAACGGCCACUGUGUGUACAUCGCGCGCCACGAGGAGCAGAAGACAAAUGGAAGAACCACGCCUACGGCUCUACAAGUUUUCACAGACACGCAGGAAAGUCACCUAAUAAGACUGUGCGCAAAACGGGGGCUCAGUGAAGAGCCGUCUAGAGUCGGAGAGGGGAGGACAGGUGCCUUUCCGGGAGGAGCGGGCAUGAGGGAAAACGGCGCAAUUACGGCGGCGGCGAGCUCUAGAGGCAGGGGACGGCGACGCAACCGCAACCCGAGCGAAAAUUCAGAGGCGUGAGGGUAUGUAGCAGGUUCCAGGCUCUCUGACGGAGCCGGAGCGGGAACAAGCGACAGAAGACGGCCCUGGAAAGGAAGGACGGGGCCAGGGUGUGAAGAAUUGUGCAUUUCCUGCCAAGGAGUUUUUUUAAUGCAGUGCACUGGCAGUGGGGCCUUAUCGAAGGUUUUAAGGUGCAGAGUGCUAUUCACCUCAUAACAUAAACAUUUUUUUAAAUUAGAGAUGAUUUUUAAGUAAAAAGUGAAAAUAAAAGAGAAAAAGAUGACAAAAUGAGGCUGUUCUUGCAUCAGCCUUGAACGUCUGUUUUACAGCCAGGAAGCUUUCCAGUCAAUGCGGUGCCACUUGCCGGCAAAGGGGGCAGCGACGGCCACUGGGUAAAGGAACGAAAUCUCAGGGGUCUUUCUGGGGCCCUGAGGCUUGGGAGCAAGCAGCUUAAGGAGCCACAGAAGUCAGGAGACACAGGGAGACGCCGGCCCCAAGAGCUCUCCCUGGCCGCAGAGACGGGGCCGGUGUAAGACAGCAGUCUGGGCCAUCUCGGCACCUCCUCCCGGUCACUGCGGUCCCGCCUCUGGAUCUCCAGACCCACAGAGUUCCCAGGGAUCACCCUCUCCAGCCGCUCCCCAUCCUCCCUGGAAUCUGGACAAGGAGCCACAGUCAGAAAGUCAGUGACCUCCUCAAAUUCAUCAGUCCAGCAGAAUAAGAACCAGGAGCCACGUGAGGCCUUUGCCAAACUCCAGACGUGUCUACAUGAACCUAUGGGGUCUCCUUUCCCCUCUUAACUUCAGCUGACUUCUGGGGUUCAACACCAUGGCAACACUGUCCACACCCCUCUUCCUGUGAAGCCAGACUUCUGUGACCAGGGUCCCCUGCAAAGGAACAGGGAGGGAAGCAAGAGUCUAGGCCAGCUACUAUUCAGCUGCUGAGCUGGAUUGAAAUCACCUCUCUGAUGACUGAAGCAUGGAGGGAGAAGCUGGGUCCCCAAGAGAAUGCAACUGCCAGAGAGAGAGCACAGGACCAAGCCCAGCAGACCUGGGCUGCAGACGGAGGGCGGCCCUGCUGCAGCCACAGCAGACCGCACACGACCUAGGGACGGAAGCAGAUUCUGUCACGAAGGGCAGGGGAAGGCCACUGUACACGAAGGCUGUCCUGUGAGCAGCUGCCUAAGCCACGUCCAGGUCUCAGAAAUGGGGGCACAGGCAGGAAGGGGCGGCCGGUGAAGAUGGGAUCCAUGUAGACAAGAGGAGGAGCAAACCGACUGCACCGGACGACUCCCUUGUCCACCCUGGCCAAGGCCACCGUUCGUCCUGCGGCAGGGAACAACUCUGGGUUCACGCCAAGACCGCUUCCUCAUCCGCCUGAGCUCAGAGCCAGUUCCAUUUGCUGCGGAGGGCGCCCAGGCCACGUGAGGGGACCCAGCCGACCUCCCUGCUCUGGCCUCUCCCGCCUCUUUUACCACUAAAAAUCCUGUUGUCCCCCCACCCCGGCCCCGCCCCAUGAGCUUUCUUCUAAAAUGUGCCACAGGAUUUUCAAGUGUGUUUUCAUUUGUAAUCUGAGUGUUCCUACUGCUAGGAAAGUUAACUUCACUUUUCUUCCAGCAGUUUCUGGAAGGAGGCAUGGUGGCUUCUAUCAGGAAAGCCCAUCCCGUGUGCUCCAUUCUCUCCCAGCCACUCCCCACGCUGCUGCCCACCUCCUCUGGGUCACGACUCUGUUCAGACCGGGGUGGGAGGGACCCAGCCUGUCCCUCUGGAGGGCACGCCCUUCCCGGGGAAGGGGUAGGUGGGGAGAAGCCGGCUCAGGGGAGCACAGGCCAGAUGAGCCCUGCCUUCUCCAUCUUUAUACUCAGGGAUUUUUCUCUCAGGACACACGGAGCAUGUGCCUUCAAUCUGAUUUCCUUUGUGGGGCUCGGUCCAGCAGAACUAUCUGCAUAUACACUAGUUUCAAAUGUCCCUACAGAGUUCCUGCUCUGCCAGGUGCGUCAGGAGAUGUGGCUGGACGUUGUUCUCAGGGGCAGUUAAGAACUGUCAAUGUUCCACGGCAGUUAGGAGGCGAGGUCGCCGGGAGCGCUGCAGCUGACCUCUGGGUCAGAGGUCAUAAGCGCUAAGGCUCCCCAGCUCUACCCUUUCACAUGCACAUAACAAACCACUUGUAAUUUUUCAUUUCCAAGGAUGUGUUCGGUCCUGUUCAGAAUACAACUCCCUCUUCCCACACACACCCCUACGUUAAAGAAUUCUGGGUAUUUGCUAUGCCCACACUUGGACCGGGCAGACCUCAAAAUGGGUUCCCAGAGUGCACAAGCACAAGGGGGCAGCACUCUUGUGCUAAAGGGGCUGAGAUGCUGGCACAGGGCCAGCAGGGAAAGGUCAUGAGCAAAGAGGGAAGUUGCUGGACAGGGAUCAGGAACCCAGGCAAAGCUCACGAAGGCGACAGAGUUCCUUCAUACCUGGAUAUGAGCAAGAAGACCAAGUGAUUUUUUUAUUUUUUUUGCAAGGGCUAUGGAUCUGCAGUUUUCCUUUUGUGCCAUUUUUGUCUAGGUUAACGCUAGCAUCAUAAAAGGAGUGGGGAAGUGCUCCUUUAGCUUCCAGUUUUUGGAGAAGAUUGUGGAAAAGUGGUGUUACAUCUUCACGCACUUGGUUGAAUUCUGCCAUGAAAUCAUCAAGACCUGGAGAUUUCUUUUUUUCGGGUGUUUUUAAUAUUAUGAAUCCAAGUUCUCCAGGCCGGGGAUCAAACUCGUUCCUUAGCAGCGACACUGUUGGAUCCUUGACCUUCUGCACCAUAGCAGGAACUCCUAGUUUUACUUUUUUUUUUUAGGAACUUCCAAACUGUUUUCCGUAGUGGCUGCACCAAUUUUCAGUCCCGCUAAUAGUUCACAGGGUUUUCUUUUCUCCACAUCUUCACCAGCACUGGUUAUUUUUUACCUUUUUGAUGGUGGCUGUUCGAACAGGUGUGAGGUGGUAUCUCAUUGCAUUUCCCUGAUGAUUAGUGGUGCUGAGCAUCUUUUCAUGUGCCUGUCAACCAUGUGUCUUCUUCGGAAAAUGUCUAUUCAGUUCCUCUGCCCAUGUGUUUGUUGGAUUGUUUGUUGUUGUUGCUGUCAUUGAGCUGUGUCAGUUCUUUAUAUAUGAUUGGCAAA
rnacentral:lncRNA from 1 species